CAAAAAGUAGCGUUCAAUAUUAAAAUAACCUUAGGAAUUCACUUCCCAACAAUGUAGAUUGGUAAGGUUCUUUGAGAUAAAGACAUGAAAAUUAAAAAAAGGAAGUCCGAAAACUCAGUUGCUAUAUUACAUAGAAAUCAUAGAUUAAGAUAUAUGGAUUUUAAAAGUCCGACUGUGCAUGCAUUUUCCUGAAUAAACCUGAAUAAAAUAUUAAGGCCUUUAAGACAUGUGAUUCACUGAAAUGCUCAGAUUUAUUCCUUUACUAUUUUCCACAUAAAACCAAUUUGGAAAAUGUUAAAUUUAGUUAAGUAACAUUUAUAUUAAAAUGCAUUACUAGCCUCAUCUUGUUAAAAAAUUGUCACACCACUUUAGACUGCUGGAAUCCUCUCAUUUAGAGAAACGUAUCCUGGUGAGGUAUAUGUAAGCUGCUGUUUGGAAAUCCAAGUAGCAAAGCAUGAGCUGACAUCAGCACAGACAAUUAAGAAUCACAACAGAAGGGUGGAGUUGUUUGUUUUUCUUAUGCAAGAAGAAAACUUGCAUAAGAAAUCUCCUUUUGUUUGUUUCUUAUUUUCUUAGGUAUUGUUUGUCCUUCUCGCUCUCUAAAUAGCUACCUGCAGAUGUUGGUUACAGCCUCUGCUAUUGCCAACAAAGAAGAAAAUAUAUUUGGAAUAUCUGUAGUGGAUUGUGGUGGAAUAGAGUAAUGCAAAUAGAAAUUCAAAGGUUAAGUAACCUGCUUGUGGUAUUAAGGCAGAAUUUUUUGUUGGAGGGAGAAUAGGAAGAAGGAGUAGGAAUGGAGAGGAGCUGAAGAGGCUUUUUGCCUAUUGAAGGACUGAGCCUGUGCUCAGGGUGUGAAUGAAAUAUAAUGUUACUGUGCUGGUAACAGCAGAGAUAGAAUGAGCUAACAUCUGUUUUUAGAUUGAAGUACCUUUAAACCAAGCUUAGGACACAGAUCUGUUCAAUCAGAAUUAUUAUUUUUUAUAGGAGAACUGUGCUGCAUUUUCUCUCUUUAAUUCUGGAAAGCUGCAGUUGGGAUUUGUUAGGGUCAUUUUAAGUUCUGCUCUCAGAACCUACCUUUUUUCCUGUACCAAAUUAGAAGCAGUGAAACUACUUUUAAGUGAGUCACAAUGACUUAAAAUUGAGCAGAAUGUUUCUUCCAUAAAUUCAACACUGGCAGUCUAGCUGUGUAUCUCAGUAUUAUUUGAGACUAAUUUUGAAAGCAUUUUUGCUUGUUUUCAUGUAUAUAUGCUGGGUUAUGAUAGCCUCUCUCUUGAUAGCUAUUAUAUCAUGCAUAUAUUGUCAGCAGUCUCUGCAACUGAGAUCUCUGAUGACAAACAGCAGGGAUUUCUCUCAUGCUUAUAUGUCUUAGUAGUAUAAUUACAUGGAGUAGAAUUCAGCUUUAAAUUAAGAACCCCAGAACUGCCUUUGCUAUGUUUUCACUCUCACAAAUAUUCCACGGAACCAUGCCUAGCAUACAUGUUACUGAAACUUCAGUAAUGGUUGUGGCAGAAUUGGAGGUACAUGGUGAAGGACAAUUGUUUAAGGAUGUUGUAACAUUGCAGGCAGAAUUUUUCAUAAAUUAUUU
ensembl:lncRNA